rnacentral:lncRNA from 1 species
UUCUUGACAAUGUUCAACAUCCCCUGAAAUGCCUUAUUGGACACACCAUUUUUUGCCUUCCAUUGCACAAAUUCUAGUGUUGUACCUAGUUUUUAUGGCCCUGCUGGCAAUCUGGGUACAACAAUUUUUGGUGAUCAUCUAUCAUGCUUUGCAACUCGUAGCACCUAACCAAGGUCAUCAGUAGGGCUAUUUUCUGCAAACUCAUCUUCAUCAACCUCGCCCAUUGUAGUAUCUGCAAAAGCUUGGCCUGCAACCCAGUCCGGAAUGCUGUCAUCUUCCUCCUCCUCCUCG